rnacentral:rRNA from 1 species
UACGAAGGGGGCUAGCGUUGUUCGGAAUUAUUGGGCGUAAAGCGCACGUAGGCGGCUUUGCAAGUUAGAGGUGAAAGCCCGGGGCUCAACCCCGGAAUUGCCUUUAAAACUGCAUCGCUAGAAUUGUGGAGAGGUAAAUGGAAUUCCGAGUGUAGAGGUGAAAUUCGUAGAUAUUCGGAAGAACACCAGUGGCGAAGGCGACUUACUGGACACAUAUUGACGCUGAGGUGCGAAAGCGUGGGGAGCGAACAGG